AGGAUUAAAUGUCAGGAAUUGUGAAAAACUGAGUUUAAAUGUAUUUGGCUAAGGUGUAUGUAAACCUCCGACUUCAACUGUACAUGGGACAACAGCAUUGACAGCCAUUUAAGAGUUAACAGUCCCUGCCACGUGCGUCUUGUGUCCUAGCCGAUUAAUUGUAACGACACUUUGUCCCUGUUCUGACUUUUUGCUUCUUUGAUUGCCAUACGGAGUUUGAAGCUGGUCUGCUUGUACUCAUCCAUGUUCCGGGUCACCUUACUGGGGUUGAAUGUGGUGGUUCGCGGUUUCAGUUUUGCGCAAAUACUGCCAUCUAUCACUGGUUUUUGGUAUGUUAGAAACUCUUUGCUGUACACACAGAAAAAUGACAUGAUAUUUUAAAAAAAUGGUCAAGCCAUCUCUAACACUGAAUCAAGUACCUAACAUUUUAGCACCAUCUGAGUUUAUUAUUUAAAAAAUUAGCAUAUGUGUUGAUUCAAUAAUUACGUAUUAUGUUUUUUGUUCGACUGAGACAAGGGAAACUCAGUCCCUGCAAUGAUACAAAAAUAACUAUGUCAGUCAGCACAGAGUCAAUUUUGUAUUUAAUGUCAACAAGAUGGUCAUACACUCACAUAACUUGAAGUUCAGUACUUGUAUUGCACAAAACGAAACAUGAUACUUUUCACUAACACUUGACCUUAAUGUAAAUCUGGUACCCUCACUUUAAUAGAAUACAUGUUUGAAUACUUUGGAAAAGGUUCAACAUUACACACAUCUUCACUACUUUUGUCAAGUAAAUGUGAAUUAAGGCACUCAUUAUCUCGCUAUAAAACACAAGUAUCAACCUAAUGGGACAUGCAGUCAGGGUUGGACCCAUCAAUUAAGCAAUUUUACAGACACCAAAACAACCAUCACCAUAUCUACUCUGCCUCAUCAUACUCAUUCUUUCCUCAGUUCACCUCAUCCAGUUCCCUAUACAUCCAAAACCAACAGAAUUAACUACAAACUAGCUAGUACUACUACAUGUUACUAUAAACUAUUCAUAGGCCGUAUGCAUUUCCUGUUGGUGUAUCCUGAGGUAGCUUCCCACAGUGCGUACAGGCGAAUGGUCUUUCUCCCAUGUGGACCUUCAGGUACAUCUUCAGCUGGUGCUGGUGGGAGAACCUCUUCUCACACUGGGGAAGCUGUAGGAUUUCUCCCCUGUGUGGACCCUCUGGUGCCUUUUCAGGUUGAAUGAGUGUGAGAAACUAGCCUGGCACACAUGGCAUCUGAACGGUUUCUCCCCCGUGUGCAUCCUCUGGUGCCUCUUCAGGUUGGAAGAGUCUGAGAAACUAGCCCGGCACAGGUGGCAGCUGAAUGGUUUCUCCCCCGUGUGCAUCCUCUGGUGGAUCUCCACCUGUUUGGGGAAACUGAAAGCUUUCCCACAGAAUGAGCACGGAAAGCGCUUCUCUUUUCCACCGGAUCUACUGAUAGAGUUACUACUACUGUCAUUUGUCAAUGGGCUUGUGUAUCCAUUUAGUGUUGAGGCACUGGCAUUGUCUGGGGUCUGGUUUAACAUUAGGAGAGUGUGAGGAGGAUGAAGGCCAGGAAGUGUCUCUGUUGUCGGAGGGUCCAUGUUCCAGUUGAUAGAUCCUAUAGAAGGCAGGCUGAAGGUAGCACCUGGCGCCAUCAGUAUCUCUGAAUCACAACUAUAGGAGCAGGACGGAGCAUCGCUAGCCGAGUCUGUUCUCUCCCGCCGCAUACUGACACCUCCCCGUCCCCGCGGACCAAAUCUACGCCUCGCCCUUGUCUCAACCAGUCUGUUGUCAUGAAGAUUAAGUUUGUUUGUUGUUUUGUGUUCAACUGUCUGUUUCUGGUUGUGGUUAACAGCGUUGUUCCCCAGCCCAGAGUUGAAGACGCUGUCCCAUCCACUGACCUCCACUAUGUCGCCUCUGGUCCUGGCCUGCUCAGUGAUGUCGUCCCCUGGGCCUUUGGCUGCACCAGUCUGGGUCUGGAAAUCUAAGAUGUUUGCCCAGUCUCCUCUGUUAGCCUCCAGCCAACCACCUGCAGGAAGAGGUUACAAAAUAGACUUCACAAACAUGGCAGAGAAUUCUACCAUUCUCCAUAUCUACAGUUUUGAGUCAAUUACCUGGUGAAGUUCAUACAUUAUAAUUUGUGUGUUUUGGUAACUAAACAUACAUUGUAUUGAUUUCAUUUUAUGAAUGAAGAAAAAAAAGCAAGAAUAGUAACCAGGUGCAUCACUAUUCCCAUUGAAGCUCUAUUACUGUAUGUAGGCUAUAUGUAUUUCUCUCUUACCUUGCUCCCCCAUCUUUAGUCCACUCAGCAGAUCAAUACUCACUGGUCCGUCUUCUAUUGUCUCCUCUUUGACCAGCAGCAGAUCAGGCUUCCCAUCCUCCAUGUCUACUGACUGUAAGAGAUACAGAGUGAGAGGAUGUUGGAUCAAGAAAUCUGAUAUGAGAACCCUGCUAUGGAUCAUCUUCUGAUUGGACAAUGAUGGAUUGCUAUGAGUACUAUGCAAACAUGUUAGUUGAUUUUAUUACUUGACACUAAUGACUUCAUCAUUCAAGAGGCAUGGUCCCGCACUUAAGACAACGAAUCAAGACCUGGGCCAGUAUCCACAAAGAGGCUGAGUAGAAGUGCUGAUCUAGGAUCAGUUUAGCCUUUUAGAUCAUAAUGAAUGAAAUUAUAUCUUAGAUCAGCACCCCUGCUCCGAGACACUUUGUGGAUACUGGCCCUGACCUAAUACCAUUCAGACAGUAGUUCAGUGGGCUCACCUCAGUGAGACUGUGUGUGGUCCUGUGCUGCUCAACUGAUUCCUCUGUGGGUUCAGGAGGAGGUGUAGUCUGGUUGUCCUCCAUGACCAUGGUCCCCUCAGGGUUCCCCAGACCCUCCUCCUUCACCAGCAGCACCUCUAGACCCUCCUCCUCCUGGAAGAGACAGGUGAUACAGAUUACACAGACAUACACUCCCUCAGGUACGUACACACAAGAUAAUAAACACUUUCAACAUGGAGUGUUUACCCAUCCCCACUACGUUUGAGUCCUAUACAAUUUCACAAAGUCAAAUUCCUGUACAUGCAAAUGUAACUGCAAAAUUAUUGGCACCCUUGAUAAAUAUCAGGGAAAAUACUAUAGUUUAUCAAGAGUGUCAAUAAUUUAGGACCCCAUUCUAUAUGCCUUAUAUACAGUAUAUAUAAUGAAGUAGUUGAAUGGAAGUAAUGAAACACAUCAUACACAGUACAAACUCAAUAUGUAACAGACUUUUUAGGCUUAUAUAUCACACAAUGUCUGGGUGCAAUAUUCUACCCAGGAAUAUUCAACACUGAUUCUGUUACUGUCUUUAUUACAAAUGAAAGUCAAAUUUUUUUCUGCUGACACCAAUUAACAUUUAUCUUUGUCUUUAAUUCAGGGUUUGAUCUAAACGUCAGAAGCUAUCGAGUGGAAUGGUUACUUUCUAUAGCUAGGUAUCCAUUCAAUUGAUGACAGAUUUUCAAGAAAAUAUGCGGAUGUUCCCACCAAUGGUACCUGCACUCUAGCCAACAGCUCGCAGAUACAGUGGAGGUAGGCUAUCCACAUUAUGAGAUUAUUAUGGCAACCAACAAGAAUAUUUAUAUUUGUCCAUCACAGCUGCCAUGAUUUUCAUCUGUGGAUGGAAACGUGGUUUAUGCUGUAGAGUGGAAUGGUUUUUCUGCUGGUGUAUCCUGAGGUAACACCUCUCUGAGAACCUCUUCCCGCAGUGCGUACCACCGAAUGGCCUUUCUCCUGUGUGGACCAUCUGGUGCCUCUUCAGGUGGUGCUGGUGGGAGAACCUCUUCUCACACUGGGGGCAGCUGUAGGAUUUCUCCUGUGUGGACCAUCGGGUGCCUCUUCAGAUGGCCAGCUUGGGGCCUGGGUUGGGGCGUGGCGGCGCGGUUCUCCGUGGCAACAGGGGGCACUCCAAUCUCGAUGUCUCUUCUGUGUUGUGGGACCUCUCCUUCAGACCUCUCCUGCUUGACCCCAGGACCUGCAGCUUCUCCAUCUGAAGACUGAGACAAGAGAGGAGGUUAAUAUCAUUACAUGAGGUGAAUUGGAUAACAAUGUCAUAGGGAAGUCUCAAACUCCCCUAUGGCAGAUAAAUGAGGAUGUACAUGACUGAAUAGCUGAGGGGAGCCUUUCUGAAAUUAAUUAAUGGGCCACAUUUGACGUACUGUAAUUUUUCAAGUUACACUAUGACACUAACCUCUAUCAUGAUAACAUGCUGGGCGGAGGUUCCACUCCCCUCAUCUAUAGCUGGCUUCACAAAGCUCCUGUGACCUCUAGUGAGAUGUCCUUCACCUGAGAGAGUGAUUGGAGGAAAAGUUGGUUAGGUACUGUCAAUGCUCAAUGCUAUAUUGUACACUAUUGACAUUGUCUACAACUGUGUAAAGUUCAUGAUGCAGUUGACCUUAAAAGGGCUCCAGGACCAAAGAUCCACCACCAUACUUUACAGUAGGGCAUGGGGUUGUUUUCUGCUCAUGCCUUCUCAUUUCGAUUACAAACCCACCACUGGUGUGCGUGGCCAUAGAACUCUAUUUCAUGUUAUUCAACAAAUGAUUCUGAUUAUUAAGCCUGUAAUACACAAUUCAUUGGUAUUUACAGCCUGAAACAAAUUCUUGCAAAAUUGUGUGAAUGUUCCUACUAUACAUUUAAACUUACUCUAGCAGCUGUGAAAUUUGAGACAAAAUAUAGACUGGAAAGUAUUGUUUACCCAACUUUUCAGAGAGCUGGUAGGUAUAUGGUUCAGUUUGGAACUGAGGUAAAAUGAGUUUUAUACUGGAUAUUUGUUUUUCAUCGUCAAUAGCUAUUGAACCAAGCAUGCCAGGACAAUGAAAAUGGUAUAUUCUGAAUCGGGGGAGGAUUGAGAACAAUCCAGUUACUACCAGUUGAUAUUACAGUUUCAAUAAAUGAAUCUUAAAUGGAGCUUGCUUUUUAAAUGACUGAAUAUAUACGGGCAAUUUAGCAAUUCGGACUUUAUCUCUAAUGGUUAUGAUAAAUUAGGCAUUGUUGCAAUCUGUUGGCAUAUAGAUAAAUGCACACAUUUUUUCCAGUGCGGGCCUUGUGUUCUAAAAAUAUACCCCCCCCCCCAUUGGACUACUCUGAAAAAAAGCAUGAGAGUACUCCAACAGUCAAAAAAUGUCAAUGCCCAUCCCAUUUAGUUUCAGGCUGUAUAGUAUAUAUCAAUUCAUUGUGUAUGACAGCCUGAUUAAUAUGACAAGCAACAAAUGUCAAUGCCUGGAGUUUGCUACAUGGCAUUGGCACUUGGAAUGGAACCGGUGCUUUGGUCAGGUGAAAUUAAAAUAGAGCCUAUUAAUGCCUAUUCGGUAAUCUGGCCCUGGAUGUAAGGUAACACUUCUCAUACUUGUUAAUACACUAUGUAUUGAUUGAUUAUGUUCCAUGCAUCACUUUUUAAAAAUCGAGUAUGAUAGGAAAUUCAAUAAAGAAUCUUUGUGCAAGAAUAAUUUGUUCUUAAUUGACCUGGCUGGUUA